CACAUGCAGUCGAACGGUAACAGGAAGCAGCUUGCUGCUUUGCUGACGAGUGGCGGACGGGUGAGUAAUGUCUGGGAAACUGCCUGAUGGAGGGGGAUAACUACUGGAAACGGUAGCUAAUACCGCAUAACGUCGCAAGACCAAAGAGGGGGACCUUCGGGCCUCUUGCCAUCGGAUGUGCCCAGAUGGGAUUAGCUAGUAGGUGGGGUAACGGCUCACCUAGGCGACGAUCCCUAGCUGGUCUGAGAGGAUGACCAGCCACACUGGAACUGAGACACGGUCCAGACUCCUACGGGAGGCAGCAGUGGGGAAUAUUGCACAAUGGGCGCAAGCCUGAUGCAGCCAUGCCGCGUGUAUGAAGAAGGCCUUCGGGUUGUAAAGUACUUUCAGCGGGGAGGAAGGCGAUAAGGUUAAUAACCUUGUCGAUUGACGUUACCCGCAGAAGAAGCACCGGCUAACUCCGUGCCAGCAGCCGCGGUAAUACGGAGGGUGCAAGCGUUAAUCGGAAUUACUGGGCGUAAAGCGCACGCAGGCGGUCUGUCAAGUCGGAUGUGAAAUCCCCGGGCUCAACCUGGGAACUGCAUUCGAAACUGGCAGGCUAGAGUCUUGUAGAGGGGGGUAGAAUUCCAGGUGUAGCGGUGAAAUGCGUAGAGAUCUGGAGGAAUACCGGUGGCGAAGGCGGCCCCCUGGACAAAGACUGACGCUCAGGUGCGAAAGCGUGGGGAGCAAACAGGAUUAGAUACCCUGGUAGUCCACGCCGUAAACGAUGUCGACUUGGAGGUUGUGCCCUUGAGGCGUGGCUUCCGGAGCUAACGCGUUAAGUCGACCGCCUGGGGAGUACGGCCGCAAGGUUAAAACUCAAAUGAAUUGACGGGGGCCCGCACAAGCGGUGGAGCAUGUGGUUUAAUUCGAUGCAACGCGAAGAACCUUACCUACUCUUGACAUCCAGAGAACUUUCCAGAGAUGGAUUGGUGCCUUCGGGAACUCUGAGACAGGUGCUGCAUGGCUGUCGUCAGCUCGUGUUGUGAAAUGUUGGGGUUAAGUCCCGCAACGAGCGCAACCCUUAUCCUUUGUUGCCACCGGUCCCGGCCGGGAACUCCAAAGGAGACUGCCCGGUGAUAAACUGGGGGAAAGGUGGGGGAUGACGUCCAAG
rnacentral:rRNA from 1 species